AGUGAACGCUGGCGGUAGGCCUAACACAUGCGAGUCGAACGGCAGCACAGUAAGAGCUUGCUCUUACGGGUGGCGAGUGGCGGACGGGUGAGGAAUACAUCGGAAUCUACUUUUUCGUGGGGGAUAACGUAGGGAAACUUACGCUAAUACCGCAUACGACCUACGGGUGAAAGCAGGGGAUCUUCGGACCUUGCGCGAUUGAAUGAGCCGAUGUCGGAUUAGCUAGUUGGCGGGGUAAAGGCCCACCAAGGCGACGAUCCGUAGCUGGUCUGAGAGGAUGAUCAGCCACACUGGAACUGAGACACGGUCCAGACUCCUACGGGAGGCAGCAGUCGGGAAUAUUAGACAAUGGGCGCAAGCCUGAUCCAGCCAUACGGCGUGGGAGGAGAAGGCAUUGGGGUUGUGAAGCCAGUUUGUUGGGAGAGAAAAGCUGCAGGUUGAGACACCGCUGGUGUGACGGUAUCUAAAGAAGAAGCACCGGCUAACUUCGUG
rnacentral:rRNA from 1 species